AUGUACAUUUGCAAAGAAGAUGGCAGUAAAUGGAGAAGUACCUUUGUCUAUGGUGAACCAAGGGCAAGCCAAAGGUAUGUGAUGUGGGAAUUGUUAAGGCGUAUUAAGCCGCUUGGGAACGGACCAUGGUUUAUGGUUGGUGAUUUUAACGAAGCUAUGUGGCAGAAUGAGCAUUUUUCUCGGAAUAAGCGGUCGGAUAAACUUAUGGCAAAUUUUCGUGAGGUUUUAUCGGAAUGCAAUUUAUUUGAUUUGGGUUUUUCGGGUGUUCCUUGGACUUACAAUAACAAGAAGGAAGGUCACAAAAAUGUGAAAGUGCAUCUUGACUGUGCGGUGGCUUGUCCUCGGUGGUCCUCCAUGUUCCCUAAUUGUACGGUCCAACAUAUUAUCAGUUCAAGGUCAGAUCAUUGUCCUCUUCUUAUUCAAGUGACGGGAGUUCCUCGUCCCGGGAUGCUUAUUAAAAAUCUGAGAUAUGAAGCGUACUGGGAGAGAGAGGUUGGGGUGCUGAAUGAUCAAAUUGAAUUGGUUUGGAAUAAAAGUACGCAUGUCAGUGACCUGGGAGAUGUGGCAAAUAAGUUGGACAGUCUUAUGAAGUCUCUUCAUGGGUGGAGUAAGGAACAUAUUGGUUAUUUGCCCAAAAAGCUUGAAACGGCGCGAAAGAGAUUAAAUUUGCUCUUCAAAAUAAAUGACCAUACUGCUGUUAUGGAAAGGAAGAAAAUCCUGGCGGAGAUGGAUGAACUUUUGAUUAAGGAAGAAAUCAUGUGGAAGCAGAGAUCUUGUUUGGACAAAAUGAAAUGGGGUGAUAGGAAUACAAAAUUCUUUCAGCGAAAGGCCACAUGGAGAGCUAAGAAGAAUAAUAUCUCGGCCCUUAAAAGGAGCGACGGUUCCCUCUCUCAUGAUGUGGACGAGAUGAAAGUUCAACAAUUCUUUAUAUCGGGAUGUAUGCCGGAGGGGAUAAAUAAUACAACUAUUGUGCUUAUUCCGAAAGUGAAGAACCCCCAGUCGAUAAAAGAUUUUUGGCCAAUCAGUCUAUGCAAUGUCAUAUAUAAAAUUAUCUCCAAGUGUCUUGUCAACAGACUGAGACCUCAGUUGGACGGUAUGAUUUCUCCAACCCAAAGUGCGUUCAUCCCUGGAAGAUUAAUUUCUGAUAAUGCUCUUAUAGCUUUUGAAUGUAUGCAUUCGUUGAGUACGCUAAAAGACAGCCGAGGUGAAUAUUGUGCGUACAAGCUGGACCUAGCCAAGGCAUAUGAUCGUGUAGACUGGAGGUUCUUGGAAAGUAUGCUUCGGGCAUAUGGUUUUGCUCCAGUGUGGGUUAAGUGGAUUAUGAUCUGUGUGACGUCAGUGAAAUUUUCUGUGCGGUUUAAUGGUCAGUUGUUAGAUUCGUUCCAACCUUCUUGUGGCCUCAGGCAAGGGGAUCCUCUAUCUCCUUACCUUUUCCUAUUUGUGGUUGAGGCUCUAUCGUUGUUACUCCAUGAUGCUACGGCGAAGGGGGUUAUUCAGGAUUUUCGGCUGAACAGACAUGCUCCAGGGGUCUCACAUUUAUUAUUUGCGGAUGAUAGCCUCCUAUUUUUUAAGGGUUCUUUGGAGCAAGCUCUGGUCAUUAAACGGAUUCUGGCUGCUUAUGAGGAGGGGACGGGUCAAUUGCUAAGUCCGGAUAAAUGCUCCAUUUUGUUUGGUAAAAAGUGUAGCCUGGAAGAUCAAGUUUCUAUCUUGGUGGUUCUCAAAAUCACCUCUGAUGGUUUUGAGGAUAAAUAUCUUGGUUUACCUGUGCCGGAAGGGCGGAUGAAGGCUGGUAAAUUCCAAUCUACAAAAGAUAAAGCGCUUAAGCGGGUUUCAGACUGGAUAGAAAAAUAUGCUUCUAGUGGUGUGAAGGAGCUCCAGAUUAAGUCAGUCAUUCAGUCUCUUCCGGUCUAUGCCAUGGGGAUUUUUAAAUUUCCUGCUUCUAUUUGUGAAGAGUUAUCCCAAAUCAUUAGGAAUUUUUGGUGGGGUGACCAGGAGGAUAGGAAGAGAACUCAUUGGCUAGCAUGGGAUAAGUUGACAAGACCCAAAGGAGAAGGAGGUAUGGGCUUUAGAGAUUUGAGAUUAUUUAAUCAAGCGCUUUUGGCGAAACAGGCUUGGCGUUUAUUGGUCUUUCCGGACUCGUUAUGUGCAAAGGUGAUGAAAGCAAAGUAUUAUCCUCAUGGGCAUUUGCUAGACAUUGUAUUCCCUCAGGUGACAUCAACUACUUGGCAAGGUAUUAUGCAUGGUCUUGAGCUGCUGAAAAAGGGGGUCAUUUGGAGAGUUCGCGGCGGUGCAAAUAUAAAUAUUUGGAGAGACAAUUGGCUUCCUAGAGAUUCGGGGCUUCAAAUUUCAGCAAAAAGGAACAGAACCAGACUCAAAUGUGUGUCUGAAUUAUUCAUUAGUGGCUCAACAAGAUGGGAUGAGAAUCUUAUUCGGCAUCUGUUCUUUCCACAUGAUGCGGACGAAAUUUUGAAGUUGCGUGUUCUGACUGUCGGUGAUGGAGAUUUCAUUGCUUGGCACUACGAAAAAAAUGGUUUAUUCUCAGUUAAAAGUGCGUAUAAGUUGGCGCUCAAACUUAAGGACUCUAUGAUUGAGUUAGGGAGUUCAAGUGGUGCUGCUAAUGGGGAAAGGAGGCUAUGGAAUAUUAUUUGGAAGGCUCAGGUCCCUCAGAAAAUCAGAAUUUUUGCAUGGCGUGUUGCGACACAAAGUUUGGCGGUUCAAGUUAACAGAGUUAAACACCACCAAACUACCAUUGGUCUGUGCUCGAUUUGUGGCGUAGAAGAUGAAUCUGUAUUUCAUGCACUGGUAAGCUGUCCUAAGGCUCAUGCGUUACGUCUCGCGGUAAGGGAGGUAUGGAAUUUACCAGAUGAAGUGGUUUUCAAUUUUAUGGGGCCGGAUUGGUUACUUGUCUUAUUGGAUCAAGUAAGGCCGCCGGUGCGUGAGCAAAUUAUAUUCAUGUUUUAG
rnacentral:rRNA from 1 species